GUCUUCCAUGCUCUGCAAAGCAAGAUCCUCCAGAUGAUGAGCGAUUUGCAGGGUACGUGUAUGGGGAUCCCACCUUUUAGCUACUCCUCCCCCACCUAGCCCCUAGUCCCCUUUCCCAACUUCAGGUAGACAAAGCAACUCUCUAUUGCUAUAGUCACAUGGAUGGGCCCUGAGGUAAGCUAAUAACUCGUAGUCCAGCGAACCCUUCAGUUAUCCUAAUUGAGCUGGGGAGGGCAGGGUGUCUCUUCUGAACCUUGCACGUCUGGGUGAUACUCUGCCUGCAACCCACCUCCGUGUUCCAACUUGCACAGCUUCACAAAGCCAUGACCCAAGCCUCAGGAAUGCCCAGAGGAUACAGGACAAUUGGGCCUUUGAUGGUUGCCAUGGCAUCUGGCUGGGGUAGACAAGGCAGCUCUAUGCUGUUGCUCAGAGCAUAGCUGCCCCUCCACCCACACACUCAUCUCUUUCCUUCUCCUCCAGGACAGAGGCCCAGCUGCUCAGGCUGAGGGUAGGAGGGGAAAGAGUGUAUGGGAAUAGAUGGCACUGAAGAAGAUACCCUUGUCUUCCCAGGAUGGGCUGCACCUAAUAUCAGGGUGCCCUGCGUAGACACUGCCUUGCUGAAGGCAGGUCUAGGCCUACCCCCCAGCUCAGAGUCCCAUCCACCAGGGCAGCUCUUAGAGGGUCUUCUGAGAUGUCACUGGGCAUGUCAGCUCCUUUCUAUCAGCCUGGAAGAGGGAUCACUUCACAGGCUGCAAAUUAUCUGAUUCUAAACGUCCAGAGACCCAGCACCUAUGGCAGGCGUGCCUCCAUCCCUGAGUUCUCUGGAACCUGCAGGUGUUUUAUCUGGAACCACCUAUAAGAGGGCACAGCACAGGGUAAGAACUCAACCAAGGACCAGUCUUAGGACCAAUCUCUUAAUGCCUAGCUAACUGACCUACAUUUGGCAGGAGCUCAGAAGCAGUGUUUGUGGGAGCUCUCUGGAAGCACCCAAGAGCCUUCCAAGUACAAUUCUUAGACAUAGGGAAGACCCUGACUACGGGCAGAGUUCCACCAAAGAAACACUUCUACUCACCCUGACACUCUUGGCCGACCUUUAUGUCUCGGACAUUGAAGUGGAUGACUACUCGGUCCUCCUCGUCCUGUGCCGUCUCGUCAUGGUAGUAACCCAGUGUGCCAUCCAA